UAAUAAAUUGUUUGAUAAAUAUAACUGGUUCACACUAUCUUUGUUGCGUGUGGAAAUAGAACCAAAAUUAAUAGUUAUUCUUUCGGGACCACGCACGUAACUUGCACAAUGAUCAAAACAACAAAAAGGCGAGCUUGCGGGGAUGUGUAAUCCAUUUUAAAGGUGAAAAUGGGCCAUUGACUGAUUUUACCGAGACAUCUUUGAAAAAAGUUUUACAUUGUCACGAGCUUUGGUUACUAUACAAUGGUGAGCAGAGAGACAUCGCUGAAAAGAACAAAAAUUUGAUGAAAAAAAUUCAGUCCAUGAAAAGUCCUUUGGCUGAGUACCGUGGAGAGUUAAAGUACCAUAGAAAUUGCUAUGGAAGAUUUAUAGCUAAACAUAUCAUUUCAAAUUAACUUAGAAAGAUUGAUCCUUAAUCAUUAUUUAGCACCGUUCUUUUGAAUAUGAACCAGCAAAUUUAGCGAAUUUCACACAAAACAAUAAGGCGGAUAUAGAAAAUAAAUGUCGAAUUUUUGAUGGCUCUAGCUCUCUUGAUUGCAAGUUUUCGGAAUGUAAACAGGCAGAUUUAUAUUAAGUGAGUACAUAUCAGUACAUCUAUGUUGUUUUUACUUAGUCAUGAAUUUCUGCAUCUCAACCUGAACAAUAAUCCACCAUAGAAUACGGCCUAUUUUACAACUUGCUUUAUUAAUUUUUUCGAUGUAUCUUGUGUUUUUAGUGCUUUCACUUCUACUGAGAGCAAAAAAUGAAGCGUAACUCGAUCAUUAAUAACAAAUGAAAGCGUAGCUAUUUCUCGAUCGUUGUAAUGAAGUCGAUAAAAAUUCAAUGACCCCGACGAGAAUUGAACUCGCAACCUUCUGAUCUGGAGUCAGACGCGCUACCAUUGCGCCACGGAGUCAUCUGGUUAUUACAAACGUAAAAAACCUAAAAAAACCACAACAGUAUAAUUUUACUUUGCUGUCAUUUUAUCCAACUUUUUUCUUUCUUCGUAAAAAUAGCAAUAAAAUUCCAAGUUAAAGACGGCGGAGCAUUUUUUGACUUGUUGGUGGGCCUUUGAACGCGAAGCUAAACCCAGAGGAUCUGGGACAAAUUUUAAUAAUUGAAAAUGGCUUCAACAUUAGUUGGGAAGGGGUGUCUCAACGCUCCAACUUCGCGGUCCUUGACCUGACUCAUGACAUUAUGAAGUGGAUUGACGAAUGCUAUACCUUGCAUUUAAUUUAUUUAUAUAGCUCUAUUGAAAACGAAAAAUAUCUCAAAUAUAUAGGUCUUUAAAACUCUCAUAUUUCUCUUUGCAGCUGAUCAAAGAAAAUCCUAGUGAAAUUUGUUUUAAUUGUUACGUUUGUGUAGGUCAGAAAAAAGGUGACAGAAAUUAUUUGUAAGGAACACAAGUGGUCCUUGAAACCAAGAAAAGGAUUGAUUAGAAUUUUUGUCCACCAAUACUCCAAAUGUGAUGAUGAAAAAACCUCAAUGGCAAUAAUCAAAUGGGAAAAUUAAGAAAAUUUGAAAUGUUUCGUAAAGUACAAAAACAACGUGCAGAUUAAUCUUUGUCGACCUAUUUCAACACAAGAGGACAAGGAUUACCUGUGUCUCAGUAGCUACAAAUUCCCUCGUGAAGCUGUGAGACAGUCAGAACAAAGUCUUGCGAUUAGAUAACAAACACUUCAACAAUUCCUCGUUCAAAAUGACACGUGGACACUUCAUGUCGCUCUAAAUAGAAUCACAAGACUUGGCGUCGACUUAAAUCCUCGAAUAACUUGUCGAAAGAUAUGGACAAAAAUUGCAUCGGCUUCCUCGAGUCAACGAAGAGUUUUGCGAAGGAGUACCAGAGGGACUGGCCCGAUGUAAAAAGUGGCAGGGGAAAAAGUAAGCCUUAUUUGAUGAAAGGCGGGAAAAAGGACUUCCCCUAAACUCUUUUAAUUAGCCAACCAAUCAAAAUACAGCUUGCCCAGAGCUUAUAUAACAGUGGUCAACUAGAGGAAUACGGUCAAAUGAAAACAAUCUCUUCAUGGUGGUUGAAUAUCGAAAACCGGUCCAAGUAAUCAGCCAUCAAUUCGUCAUAUCUUUGCAACAGAAAAGGAAAGAGGAAAGUGAUUAAUCAAACGUAUAAGGAAUGUCGUUCUUUCGAUACACGAUUCUGUUGGAGAAUACUUCGUCGGUGGGAGCGAAAUUGAGAGAAAUUGGUGAUGCUUUGGAAAUGGAACAUAACGAACAAAACACACAACGAAGGCAAACGAGAAAUCAAGGAAUCGCAGUCGUCUGUCUUGGAUUGAUUCUCUUGAGUGCGAUGCUUUGGAAACAGCGCAAGUGAUUGCCAUACGUGACUUAUGGAAAAAUAAGCAUGAACGCGAGAAAAAUAUUGACAAAACAAGAUGUAUGUCAUCCGACGAACAAAUAAAUGUAACGUAUCAAGGGUGUUAUAAUUUUAUGAUGAAUAAUAAUAUACUCAAUAGUUCAAUGUCCAUGGUGCGAAGUGCAGUUGAUUUUGGUGGAAUGAAUCACGUCAACACUUCGUUAAGAUGAUUUCAAAUGGGAUAAGAAAUAUUUACAGCAAAGACUUUAUAUUUAAUCUAUACGGUUAGUGAGAUUUGCACAAGUUAAGUCACGCUUUCGUAAGAGAGGUGUUGUAAUAAAAUCAAAUUGGAACUCUUAUAAACGUGUGAUAAGACACGAACAGUGGUUUACUAUAAACAUGAAUGUCCCGAAGCAAUGGCAAUUUUGCUUCUAUGGUAAAACGAGAACGGUUUGGAGAAGAAAUGCGCCAUAUUUUAUGUUGCGUUGUAUAUAGGAGCGCAGAGGUACUGUUUUUAUGCAUGAAACUUGUGCUGCAUUAAAAUUGAAACACGAUUGUAAAUAGAUGGAUGGUCUGAUAUUUAUAAAUAUAUAUAUGUAUAGUUGUAAAUGGAAAUCAAAAUAUCUUAUAAGCGGAAUAAAUUAAUGCAAUCAUUCAAGGCUAUAGCAAUAUCUUUACUAAGAUGCGAAGAUGUAUCGCACUUAUAAAAUGUGUACAAUUUAACGUUGUUUUGAAAUGUGAAGACGGAUAUUGGAAUAUCAGUGUGUUCAGUUGACUUUAUUAAAGGGGUUAUCAAUGGCAGGUGUUAAUGCACAAAGCACUAAUUUGCAUAUACCUAUUGUCCAUUGUUGCUACAUGACCAUAGGGUGCAGUUGAAUAUUGUCAAAUCAUCAAAUUCGUUCGUGAUAAACGAAUUUACCGGCUUCAUAACCACUAGCAAGUAGCGACAUGGCUCGCCUCCUGACUGCCAAGUAAAACACACCGUUACUAGGUACCCUCUCGCUUUGCAUACAAUCUACAAAAAAAAUGAAAGAAAGCACAAAGGUUGCUUUGUGGGAAAAAAACAAUUUGGUAAUAACACAACAUCGUCAUGGUAAUUGUAUCUUAUUGUAUCGUAAAUUUAGCCAUGACUUUCAAAUGAUAAUUACUGAUGAUCAUUUGAGAAAGGUUCAUGUUUUCAAAUUAGCGUGUCCUUGCCAAGAAUCUGAGACCUGCUUGAGCUGCAAACGUGGCAGGAAAUCGCUACGACGAUUGAAAUUACUGAAGCAUUAGAAAAUACGUAUUUUUUUAACAUGAUAAUUUGGCGGUCCAAUACAAAGGAAUGUUUUGUCAAUGACACAGUUGGCAACAGCCGAUGAUGGCAAGCGACAUUCUUAUGUAAAUCCCAAGUAGCAAGCUAAACAUAGUGUUUUACGAAUGUAUUUGUUUUGAAGGCUCGUGACAAUGUACCUUGCAAGAUAUCUGACUUUCUCUCUUCAGGCAUUCUGCUUCAAUUCGUGUAAAAUGUGAGCCGCCAUUUUUCUUCUUCUGCGUUUUCUUGAGCAUUUCUAAAAGGGAAAAUUUUUUACGUAGAACAAAAACCCCUCAUCCUCGUAAUUAAAAAUGAAAAUUGCACAUGACGGAUUUUUUUGUCUGCUUGUUCUUUUAUGCUGAGUUCUACUGCGGUGAACGCGUUGGAAACCUUCAACAUCCGUACGCACGCUGCGUGUUACACACACGCAUAAAGUUGCAAACGAGCCAAGAUGUGCACAUUAAACAAGGAACUAUAACGUCUAUAAUUAUACUUAUCGAGCGACGUAGGAAGUUAACUAUAACACAGGGAGCAAAAUAACCGCCAGGAAAUUAUAACAGGACAAGUAAAUUAAGAACGCCAGCUUUUCAAUGAAGAGCCACCCACCGGCUGGCUUCGUUAAGAACAUUAAAAAAUUUCGUCGCCAAAAUGGAACGUUCCCAAACGAAUUCAGAAUAGACAUUGUAAACAAAGCCUCCAAUUGGACUCUGGAAUUUCAAAUCUUUUUAUACAUUCAAAAUUAACGUGAGAACUUGGCAGCAAACAUUCGAAGGUGGCAACUGGCAAGGAAUUUUGGAAUAUUAGAAUAAAGUUCAGUUAAUAAACAGAAGAUAAUGGUCUUAGAAACACGAUUGCCAUGUUUGUGGACAUGGGGGAAGCUUCGUUCCAAAACCAGAGCUACGGUUCUAACUUCCUACCUUAAGUCUCCGACACAAAUGUCGUUGCUAGAAAGCGUAAAAAGUAAAGAGCAGAGUGCGACAGACAUAAGGAAUGAAAUAACAACCGAAGUCUAGAAUUAUUGGAUGGCCAAAAUUAAAUGAACGCACAAAAAUUGCGUAGUUGUUCCGAAAAACGUAUAAUAUACAUUUUCAGACGUUUCAGCCGCAUA